GAGUUAUCUGAACCUUCGGGGAACGAUAACGGCGUCGAGCGGCGGACGGGUGAGUAAUGCCUAGGAAAUUGCCCUGAUGUGGGGGAUAACCAUUGGAAACGAUGGCUAAUACCGCAUGAUGCCUACGGGCCAAAGAGGGGGACCUUCGGGCCUCUCGCGUCAGGAUAUGCCUAGGUGGGAUUAGCUAGUUGGUGAGGUAAGGGCUCACCAAGGCGACGAUCCCUAGCUGGUCUGAGAGGAUGAUCAGCCACACUGGAACUGAGACACGGUCCAGACUCCUACGGGAGGCAGCAGUGGGGAAUAUUGCACAAUGGGCGCAAGCCUGAUGCAGCCAUGCCGCGUGUGUGAAGAAGGCCUUCGGGUUGUAAAGCACUUUCAGUCGUGAGGAAGGCGGUGUAGUUAAUAGCUGCAUCGUUUGACGUUAGCGACAGAAGAAGCACCGGCUAACUCCGUGCCAGCAGCCGCGGUAAUACGGAGGGUGCGAGCGUUAAUCGGAAUUACUGGGCGUAAAGCGCAUGCAGGUGGUUUGUUAAGUCAGAUGUGAAAGCCCGGGGCUCAACCUCGGAAUUGCAUUUGAAACUGGCAGACUAGAGUACUGUAGAGGGGGGUAGAAUUUCAGGUGUAGCGGUGAAAUGCGUAGAGAUCUGAAGGAAUACCGGUGGCGAAGGCGGCCCCCUGGACAGAUACUGACACUCAGAUGCGAAAGCGUGGGGAGCAAACAGGAUUAGAUACCCUGGUAGUCCACGCCGUAAACGAUGUCUACUUGGAGGUUGUGGCCUUGAGCCGUGGCUUUCGGAGCUAACGCGUUAAGUAGACCGCCUGGGGAGUACGGUCGCAAGAUUAAAACUCAAAUGAAUUGACGGGGGCCCGCACAAGCGGUGGAGCAUGUGGUUUAAUUCGAUGCAACGCGAAGAACCUUACCUACUCUUGACAUCCAGAGAACUUUCCAGAGAUGGAUUGGUGCCUUCGGGAACUCUGAGACAGGUGCUGCAUGGCUGUCGUCAGCUCGUGUUGUGAAAUGUUGGGUUAAGUCCCGCAACGAGCGCAACCCUUAUCCUUGUUUGCCAGCGAGUAAUGUCGGGAACUCCAGGGAGACUGCCGGUGAUAAACCGGAGGAAGGUGGGGACGACGUCAAGUCAUCAUGGCCCUUACGAGUAGGGCUACACACGUGCUACAAUGGCGCAUACAGAGGGCAGCCAACUUGCGAAAGUGAGCGAAUCCCAAAAAGUGCGUCGUAGUCCGGAUUGGAGUCUGCAACUCGACUCCAUGAAGUCGGAAUCGCUAGUAAUCGUGGAUCAGAAUGCCACGGUGAAUACGUUCCCGGGCCUUGUACACACCGCCCGUCACACCAUGGGAGUGGGCUGCAAAAGAAGUAGGUAGUUUAACCUUCGGGGGGAC
rnacentral:rRNA from 1 species